GAACUGUGAUAAGUAAUGUGAAUUGCAGAAUUCAGUGAAUCAUCGAGUCUUUGAACGCACAUUGCGCCCCCUGGCAUUCCGGGGGGCAUGCCUGUCCGAGCGUCAUUGCUGCCCAUCAAGCCCGGCUUGUGUGUUGGGUCGUCGUCCCCCCCGGGGGACGGGCCCGAAAGGCAGCGGCGGCACCGUGUCCGGUCCUCGAGCGUAUGGGGCUUUGUCACCCGCUCGACUAGGGCCGGCCGGGCGCCAGCCGACGUCUCCAACCAUUUUUCUUCAGGUUGACCUCGGAUCAGGUAGGGAUACCCGCUGAACUUAAGC
rnacentral:misc_RNA from 1 species